AUUGAACGCUGGCGGCAGGCCUAACACAUGCAAGUCGAGCGGAUGAAGGGAGCUUGCUCCUGGAUUCAGCGGCGGACGGGUGAGUAAUGCCUAGGAAUCUGCCUGGUAGUGGGGGAUAACGUCCGGAAACGGGCGCUAAUACCGCAUACGUCCUGAGGGAGAAAGUGGGGGAUCUCCGACCCUCACGCUUUAAGAUAAGCCUAGGUCGGAUUAGCUAGUUGGUGGGGUAAAGGCCUACCAAGGCGACGAUCCGUAACUGGUCUGAGAGGAUGAUCAGUCACACUGGAACUGAGACACGGUCCAGACUCCUACGGGAGGCAGCAGUGGGGAAUAUUGGACAAUGGGCGAAAGCCUGAUCCAGCCAUGCCGCGUGUGUGAAGAAGGUCUUCGGAUUGUAAAGCACUUUAAGUUGGGAGGAAGGGCAGUAAGUUAAUACCUUGCUGUUUUGACGUUACCAACAGAAUAAGCACCGGCUAACUUCGUG
rnacentral:rRNA from 1 species